rnacentral:rRNA from 1 species
UUUAUUUUAAAAANGGGCAACGAAUAGGACAUGCGGUUACUAUUAUGUUGGAUNCUAGUACGGCAGUAAUGAGUAAUAGGGAUCCUCGGCGGUGUCAGUAGUCCGCGGUCAGAGGUGAAAUAGGGGGAUAUACGCAAGACAAAGUAGUGCGAAAGCAUUGGCCAGGGAUGUUUGUCUUCAUCAGGGAACAAAAGUUAGGGGAUCGAAGACGAUCAGAUACAGUGGUGGGGUUAACCAUGUAAUAGCAAGAAUAGGGAUCGGACGGGCUUCUAAGAUGACCCGUUCGGCCACCUCCGAGAAAUCAAAGUUUAUGGGUUUUGGGGGGAGUAUGGUCGCAAGGCUUAAAGUCAAAGAAAUUUUCGGAAGGGCAACUCAAGGUGUGGAGCCGGCGGCUUAAUUUGACUCAACACGGGGAAACUUUCCAGGUCCAGACACCAUAAGGACAGACUCCCCCCGAGAUCCUUAAAGAUCUUUUGGAUGGUGGUGCAUGGCCGUUCUUAGUUGGUGGAGUGAUUCGUCCGCUUAAUGGCGAUAACGAAGGAGACGUCGGCCCUGAAAUAGCCCGGUCCGCAAUUGCGGGCCGUUGGUUUCUUAGGGGGAGAAUAGGCCCAAGCCGAAGGAAGUGCGCGGCAAUAACAUGUNUGUGAUGCCGAAUGAUGUUUUGGGCCGCACGCGCGCUACACCCCCAGGGCCACCGAGUACAUCACCGGCCUCAAUGCAAUACCUUAUGCUGAUGNNGGNC